GGGGGUUGCCGAGCCUGGUCAAAGGCGCGGGAUUUAGGGUCCCGUCCCGCAGGGGUUCCCGGGUUCAAAUCCCGGCCCCCGCACCAGA
rnacentral:tRNA from 1 species